GCUGGAUCAGUGGCGAACGGGUGAGUAACACGUGGGCAACCUGCCCCUGACUUCGGGAUAACUCCUCGAAAGAGGAGCUAAUACCGGAUACGAACUCCUUGGGCAUCCUUGGAGUUUGAAAGUUUUUCGGUCAGGGAUGGGCCCGCGGCCUAUCAGCUUGUUGGUGGGGUAAUGGCCUACCAAGGCGACGACGGGUAGCCGGCCUGAGAGGGCGACCGGCCACACUGGGACUGAGACACGGCCCAGACUCC
rnacentral:rRNA from 1 species